rnacentral:rRNA from 1 species
CCCUUAGAUGUUCUGGGCGGCCCGCGCACUACAUUGGCACUAGCAAAGAGAUCCUAGAUUGAAUUCUUUGGGGUAUUCUUCUAAAUGGUGUCGUGACUGGGAUAAAUCCUUGUAAUUAUUGGUUUUGAACGAGGAAUUCCUUGUAAUCGCGGUUUAUCAGCUCGCGUUGAAUGCGUCCCUGCCCUUUGUACACACCGCCCGUCGCUCCUACCGAUGGAUCGUCCGGUGAAGCUCACGGAGUGACUGUUCACGCAACGGUUUACGAAGUGAAAUGGACCUCACGAUUUAGAGGAAGGUGAAGUCGUAACA